GAUGAACGCUGGCGGCGUGCUUAACACAUGCAAGUCGAACGGUGAACGAGGGAGCUUGCUCCCUCCGGAUCAGUGGCGAACGGGUGAGUAACACGUGAGCAAUCUGCCCUGGACUCUGGGAUAAGCGUUGGAAACGACGUCUAAUACCGGAUACGAGACGCGAAGGCAUCUUCAACGUCUGGAAAGAACUUCGGUCCAGGAUGAGCUCGCGGCCUAUCAGGUAGUUGGUGAGGUAACGGCUCACCAAGCCUACGACGGGUAGCCGGCCUGAGAGGGUGACCGGCCACACUGGGACUGAGACACGGCCCAGACUCCUACGGGAGGCAGCAGUGGGGAAUAUUGCACAAUGGGCGCAAGCCUGAUGCAGCAACGCCGCGUGAGGGACGACGGCCUUCGGGUUGUAAACCUCUUUUAGCAGGGAAGAAGCGAAAGUGACGGUACCUGCAGAAAAAGCACCGGCUAACUACGUGCCAGCAGCCGCGGUAAUAC
rnacentral:rRNA from 1 species